rnacentral:tRNA from 1 species
GCGGGUGUGGUGAAAUUGGUAUACACGUUGGAUUCAAAAUCCAAUUUCUUCGGAAGUGUGGGUUCAAGUCCCACCACCCGCACCA